CAGGCCUAACACAUGCAAGUCGGACGGAAACGAUAGGAGCUUGCUCCUAGGCGUCGAGUGGCGGACGGGUGAGUAACGCGUAGGAAUCUGCCUAAUAGUGGGGAAUAGCCCGAGGAAACUCGGAUUAAUACCGCAUGAACCUUACGAGGUAAAGAGGGCCUCUUCUUGAAAGCUCUCGCUAUUAGAUGAGCCUGCGUUGGAUUAGCUUGUUGGUGAGAUAAAGGCUCACCAAGGCGACGAUUCAUAGCUGCUCUGAGAGGAAGAUCAGCCACACUGGGACUGAGACACGGCCCAGACUCCUACGGGAGGCAGCAGUGGGGAAUAUUGGACAAUGGGGGAAACCCUGAUCCAGCAAUACCGCGUGUGUGAAUAAGGCCUGAGGGUUGUAAAGCACUUUUAGUAUUGAGAAGGGUACAACAAGCUAAUACCUUGUUGUACUGAUGUUAGAUACAGAAAAAGCACCGGCUAAAUCCGUGCCAGCAGCCGCGGUAAUACGGAUGGUGCAAGCGUUAAUCGGAAUUAUUGGGCGUAAAGGGCGCGUAGGCGGCAAAGUAAGUCAUGUGUGAAAGUCCUGGGCUCAACCUGGGUUUGUCAUGUGAAACUGUUUUGCUAGAGUCUGACAGAGGCGAGUGGAAUUUCCUGUGUAGCGGUGGAAUGCGCAGAUAUAGGAAAGAACACCAGUGGCGAAGGCGACUCGCUGGGUCAAGACUGACGCUGAUGUGCGAAAGCGUGGGUAGCAAACAGGAUUAG
rnacentral:rRNA from 1 species